UACGAAGGGGGCUAGCGUUGUUCGGAAUUACUGGGCGUAAAGCGCACGUAGGCGGGUUGUUAAGUCAGGGGUGAAAUCCCGGGGCUCAACCCCGGAACUGCCUUUGAUACUGUCGAUCUGGAGUAUGGAAGAGGUGAGUGGAAUUCCGAGUGUAGAGGUGAAAUUCGUAGAUAUUCGGAGGAACACCAGUGGCGAAGGCGGCUCACUGGUCCAUUACUGACGCUGAGGUGCGAAAGCGUGGGGAGCAAACAGG
rnacentral:rRNA from 1 species